CUCACAUGCUAUGCAGUCUGAAGGGAUUUUUUUGUUGGCUAGACCAACAUGAUCGUACUUACUUCUGCUAGAUCUACGACUCCCAGAAGUAGCUGCAACGCGUGUUGUAGUCUAGUAAGUUAGUUGUUGCUUGCUAGCGCUAGUGCUUUUGUUAGUUGUGCUGCAGGUGAGGACAGAGGUAUUUGUGCUUGAGAGGAAGUUAUGAUUGUAGAUCUAGCAGACGCAGACCACGGACUAGACGCUAGCCUACAUCUCACUCCGAUCAGGCUCGUUUGCUGACAUUCGCCACACCGCCGCACACAGAAAAUGGUGGAUGUGGCAAGUACUGGUAGUUUCCAGCCAACAUGCGAACCGCAGGAAGAAACUGUUCUGGUAAGAAUGAACGCUCCCUGCAUUGUUUUAAUAAUGAGGGUAAAGUAUUGUCCUGUGGCUGCUACCUGGAUUCAUGGGACAUUGGCGUUGCCAUAGUAAGACUUCUGUUGUCAUGGUUUCCAUCACAUUUUUCAGUAAGGUAGA